GACAGAGGUGGCAAGCGUUGUUCGGAUUCAUUGGGUGUAAAGGGUCCGUAGGUGGCCCGGUAAGUCCGGCGUGAAAUCCCAGAGCUCAACUCUGGAACUGCGUUGGAAACUGCCGGGCUUGAGUGCCGGAGAGGUGAAGGGAAUUCCCGGUGUAAGGGUGAAAUCUGUAGAUAUCGGGAGGAACACCAGUGGCGAAAGCGCUUCACUGGCCGGUUACUGACGCUGAGGGACGAAAGCAAGGGGAGCAAAC
rnacentral:rRNA from 1 species